ensembl:lncRNA
GGUAGAAAUGGAUUAAAAUGGAUUUAAGUUUGCCUGCAUUAAAGUCCCCUGCCAAUUGGAGCGUCGCUUCUGGAUGAGCCUUUUUUUGUUUGCUUUUGGCCUUAUACAGCUUGUUGAGUGCGGUCUUAGUGCCAGCAUCAGUUUGUGGUGGUAAAUAGACAGGUACGAAUAAUAUAGAAGAGAACUCUCUCGGUAGAUAGUGUGGCCUACAGUUAGAGAGGGAGAUAUAAGACUCCAGCUUCAGUGAUUUUUGCAAUUCGUUCCAAUCAUUGGCAGCAGAGAACUGGAAGGAAAGGCGGCCAAAGGAAGUGUUGGCUUUGAGGAUGACCAGGGCAGCCAAAGUGUUCCCGACUGUGCCCCUCAAAAACCUAGCUGCCAUUCACAUUUAGAGGAGGGAGUACGAGACUGCAGAGUAGGAGAUAGCCCUGCACAUCAGGAUGAGAGUCUGGAUCCCCCUCCCUGGCCUACAGUACACCCUCAAACACCUGGGCCUGCUCUAAAAAUGCAGGGAAGGUUGAGAAGAUGAAAAAGCACAGUGAGUCGCUGCCCCUGUAUAAACAGGCUAUGAGAGUGUAUGAGGACAGUCUGGGAUGCUCACACCCACAGGUCAGAGAAACACUGAAGAACCUAGCUGUACUCAGCUAUGUGGAGGAAAGCAGCAGAGCUCAACAAUCCAUGGAGAUCAAAUAGGCGGAGCAGUCUCUGGUUUGUGGAAGGCCCAUGUCGACACUCGUCCAGUGGGGAUGGGCCUUUAGCCUGCGAGGGCCCACACCUCUCCCACAUGCCCGCAGGUGACCCCUCUCUAUUCCGCCCCUUCCAAGAACACAGGUGGUGGAUCUCAUUUUGCCUUUCAUUCAUCCUGUGUGUCCAUUUCCUCGUCUCCUUCUAGAAAUGCAUUGGUGGAGAAGGUCAGUGGGAGGGACCUUGCAUCUUCUCCUCGAAUGCAUUUUCAGGAGGUGGAAAGGAUAGAGGACAUGAAGAAUCAAGGAAGUACAAUUGAAGGCCAUCCAUGGUUCGCAAUCUGCUUUCCUGAGAAGAACAACGUCCAUCACACUGAAUAGUUUGUUAUGCUGCUUUGAGAUGGAACAGUGUAGUGGUGUCGCCUGUCAAGAGUACUGUAACUAACUUCUGAAAUAAAUUAUGUUUUAAUGUCUGUUCAAUGGCUAUAUUGUUAAGUGUUCAAAAAAUAAAUAUAUAUUAUAAAUGUAAUCAUGAUGUAACAUCUGCUUCCAGCUCACACUCUCAAACACAUAGAUACCCUGAAUGCAGCUCACUCUCCAGAUCCCAAUCACCGGAAUUCUGAUCACCUGUUCACACACCUGUAUGUCAUUAUCACACACUAUUUAGUUCAGUUCUUUGCACCCAAUCAUUGUAGGUAUUGUUUGUUUUGUGACACACUUCUAGCCGGAGCGCUGGUUUUCCUGUAAUAUACGCCUCCCCUGUACUUUCCUGUUAUCAACCUAUUGCCUGAUCUUCUGGAUGAUGUUAAUAGCUUUUUCCCUGCCUGUACUGUUGCCUUUUUGGACCCCCUGUGUUUGACCUGCUUGACCCUGGACUCAGCUACCUGCCUCCUCCUGUGGUCCUUUACAAUAAAUACCUGCUGCGCCCUGUGCUUGAAACCAGCUCUCUCUCUCUCCCAUCGUGUUUAUUACACAUUAAAUUACGUCAACACCAGGUUAUGAAGGUUUUUUAUUGCAUAUUCAAACGUUUCCAAAUUACCACUGCUCUGUCUUCUGUCAAAAUUAAAUUUCAAUUGUAUAAUGAUAAAUCAAUAUCACCAUCGACUGCAAGUCCUCUGGCUGAGUGUCUGCUAAAUUAC